UAACUGGCCGUUUUGAUCCUUUGGAACAACUCGAUGAAUUUAGUAGAUCGUUUUAGGAGGCCCUAAUGACAAUAGAUGCUAGCCAUGCAGAAAAGCACACCUUUGUGGGCGCCUUAGGAAUCUAGAUCGAGGAGUAUAGAAAAGUGGCAUCUUCUCUCACCAACAUACUUUGGUAAAAGGACUUUACAGGUGAACAGACCAUCACCUCGCAAACCCCAUCUCCAAGAAUCACAUGAUGGCUGAGGCAUGUCUUGCCCAUAUAGCUUUUCAGUAAAUCUUGGAGCUCCGCAAUCUCCCAAUCUUGCAUGUUCCUUCUAAAUGAGAGGUCCCACGCUACCCCCUGCAUGUUCCUUACAAAUUUGAUGGACCAUCAUUCCUUUUGGUUUGAAACUCUGAAGACGUGGGAAGAAGACCCUCAGAGUAUCCUCUUCACACCACCUAUGAUUCUAAAAGCUGAUUCUCCUUCCAUCUCCUACCUGUAAGAGAUGUUGCCACUGAAGAAUUCCCAAUUCUUCAUGAUGCUCCUCCACAUACCACACCCGAAAGGUGUUGUGAUUGCCUUGGUCCUCCAACCCCCUCCCAUGGAAUCGUACUUUUCUACUAUGACCUCCCUCCGUAGCGCAUGCUCUUCUACCCCGAAUCUCCACAGCCAUUUCCCCAACAAAGCUCUGUUGAACACCCUAAGAUCUUUCACUCCAAGUCCACCGCACUUCUUUGGGGAAGUGUCAUAGAGCAUGCUCUUCUACCUCGAAUCUCUAUAACCAUUUCCCCAACAAAGCUCUGUUGAAUACCUAAGAUCUUUUACUUCAAGUCCACCCCACUUCUUUUGGGGAAGUGACUGUCUGCCAAUUCACUAGAUGAUACUCUUUAGUUCCAUCCGCUACAUCCCAUAGAAAAUUCCUUUGAAAUCACUCCACUUUUUCUGUGAUGCUCACAGGAGCUUGCAACAGGGACAAGUGAUAGGUGGGCAUACUCGAUAAAGUGUUUUUAUUGAGAACUUCCUUUCUGCCUUUUGACAAGUACCGUUUCUGCCAGCCUGUUAAUCUUAUUUCAACCCUUUCGGUCACUGGAUUCCAAACCGUAGCAUCCUGAUGCGAAGCGCCCAAUGGAAAAUCCGGGUAAGUAGUGGGAAAGGAGCCCACCUUACAUCUGAGAACAUAAGACAAAGCAUCAAUGUUACCAACCUCACCCACCGGGAAAUUCUCACACUUGCCGAGGUUGAUUUUGAGACCUGAUACUAUCUGAAAGUACUGCAGGACCUAUUUCAGGUAGGUCAACUGAUCUAUAUCGGCAUCAUAGAAAACCAGGGUGUCAUCUGCAAAAAGCAAAUGAGAGACUUUUCGGACACUGGGCACCCCGAUCGAAGCUGAGAAUCCUCUCAAGAAGCCUCCGCUGCCGCACGAUCCAUCAUUUUAUUCAAAGCAUCCAUCACUAGAAUGAAUAGCAUGGGAGAUAGGGAGUCUCCUUGCUUGAGACCCCUGGAGCUGCCAAAGAAACCACACGGGCUACCAUUAACCAGGAUAGAGAAUCUUACUGAGGAAAUGCAGAACUUGGUCCAUCACCUCUAUCUUGCCCCAAACCCCAUCUGCAUCAUAAUGAAAUCCAGGAACUCCCAAUUGACAUGGUCGAAAGCCUUCUCAAGGUCCAACUUGCAUAGUAAGCCGAGAUCUCUAUUUUUUCUAUUGGAGUCUACAAGUUCAUUUGCCACCAAAGCGGCAUCCAGGAUCUGCCUACCUUCCACAAACGCAUUCUGGGAGGACGAAACAGACAUGUCAAGACUUGAGUCUAUUGGAAAGCACUUUAGAAAUGAUCUUGUAAAUGCUCCCCACGAGACUAAUAGGCAUGUAGUCACUGAUACAAGAUGUACCUUCUUUCUUAGGCACAGUAGUAAUAAAAGAAGUAUUGAUACUUCUUUCGAAAACACCAUUCGCAUGGAAGUAUUCAAUAGCUUCCAUCAACUCCCCCUUGAUGGUAUCCCAACAGAGCUGGAAGAAGGUCAAGGAGAAACCAUCAGGGCCGGGGGCCUUAUCACUAGCACAACUUGACACAGCCUCGUGCACGUCCUCCUCCUUGAAAGCCGUUUCCAGCAACUCACUAUCUCCCUUCCCUAUGUGGUUGAACUCUAUUCCCCCGAAAGUUGGUCUCUAACUAACUUCUUCUUUAUAUAAGUUCUCAUAAAACCCCACUAUCACCCCUUUUACCUCCUCCUCUCCCUCAAUCCUCACCCCAUCCACAACUAAUGACUUUAUGAAGUUUCUCCUUCGAUUUGCAACCGCCACCCUGUGAAGAACUUUGGUAUUCGAAUCCCCUUCCUUUAACCAUAGCGCCCUUGAUUUUUGCCGCCAACUAUUCUCCUGAGCUAUUGCUAACUCGGCUAUUUCCCUCUUAACCUCCCCCAAUCUCUCUUUCUCGGAUUCAUCUAACUCCCUCGCCCCUUCCCCUCUCUCUAGAUCCCCCAAUUCAUGCAUAAGCUCCCUCAUUUUAACCUCCAGCCUCCCAGAUCAUUGCUUGAGAUAUAAUCAUUUAAGUGACUUGUUUUUACCUUCCUCGAAAUGUGCACUUGUUAGCAAUUUAGUUCACUGGCCAAUCUAGGUAGCAGUUCUCCACAUUCCAAGUGCUUUCUGCACCUGGCAAAGUCAUGUAAUUUAAGUUAAUGUACUCCUACUUGUCAAACUAAUUAAUUAACAUGAUGAUUCAUUUAUGAGAUAUACUUAUGUACGAGGGACUUUACAGAAAUGUUAAUGAUGCAGCAUGUUUCAUGCUCCAUGUAUUAGUUUGCCAUUAAGCUAGUAUUUUAUCCAGCUCCAUCCGUCCGUCUUGUUUUGAUUUUAUCUCGUUUUGAGCCAAUUAUGAAAAGCUUCAAAACUCUAAGAGUCCUGGUUAACUUGGUUCUGCUAGGAGCUGUAUUCUUCUUUCAUAAGACUCUCCGCAUAGAUUGCUGGUUUUUCACAUCUAAAAAUGAUGAUGUUUACUAUUCAUAGUCUGCAUAUCCUGUUGUGGACUAAUAUUACAUACACAAGCUUUAGUUUGGUAUGUAGUUUCGAUUUGUGUUUUCUCUGACAUGUUUCUCAAAAAGACUACUCAUAUAUAUGUAUUAUGUACAAGAGCUAAGGUUCUUAAAGUCUGGAUUUUGAUUUGGAUUGGUGAAGAGUUUGGAAGAUAAAUGACAAUAUUCUCAAGUUGCAGUCUACUGACAGAAGCGGAUCUAGGAUUUUUAGAUAUGGGUGCACCACUGAAAAAGCAACGAAAAAGAAAGUACUAUAUCGGAACGGAUCCAUGUUUUUUUGGAUAAAUAACUCAAUAUUCAACCAGGUGGAUCAUUCAACUUUUCGGAGUAGGGAGGCCAACAGAUAAUGUUUGAUCAAUUUUACGAAAUAUACACAUAAAAUACCUAAUUUGGCGGAAUGACCAUGGGUUCACGUGCACCAGAAAAACGGCCUAAAUCCGCCAGAGUCUACGCAUGGCAAUCUUCUUAAAUUGGCCAACAUACCACUGUUUCUGACCACUACUCAAUUAUUCCCCUUAAACAGAAACUCUUGUGUCUGUGUAGGCCAACUCUUGACUAGUGUCAGAACCCUAUAUAUGAAAAUAUAAACCUUAUUUCUCACUUUUCAUAGCAAGAAUAUUGAGAGCUUCGACUCUGAACGCUAUCAUGUUUUAGAAUGAUGCUCCUAUCGAGUUAACAUAACUCUUGUGGGCAUUGAUCGUGUAGUUCUAGUUUCUAAAAGCCCAUUUCUAACGGGGCUGCUCAACAUAUUCGGUGGCCUAAAGCAAAAAUUAAAAAGGAGGCCUUAAAAUUUUUUUAAAAAAAUACUUCAUAUAUAUAAUUUAUUUGAAGUUUCUUUUUUUAGCUUUUUGAGAUGCGAAAUCAUUAAAUAUUUAGUCAAUUCGUAAUCUUUCUUGAGACAUUGUUGAUAUUAUUUAAGAUUUUAUCAAUUUUAAUUUUGAAAAGCGUCUUUCAACUGAAGCAGUUGUUACAAGAACUGUUAAUAUUAUUCUAUAAACAAUAUAGACAUUUGAAAAAGAACCAACUCUUUUUAACUGAUUAACUAUACCAAUUAAGUGUUAUUUUUUUACUUCUACUAUUUUCUUAGCACUUUUAAAUUCGUAAAAUAAAUCUUAACCAUUAAUAUAAUACAAGUAAUAAAAGCUAAAUCAAUAGAACUUGUUCUAGAUGUUGAUAAUUCACUAUUUUAAUUUGCUUGUAUAAACAAAAAAGAAUGUAUGCAAUAUACUUUGUUCGACUCACUUCAUGCUUUGAUUUUUUACAAAAAUAAUAAUAGUUAUUUUCUUUGAAGAAUGGAGAAAAGGAGCAGAGUAAACUUUGUAUCCUGAGAAAGAAAAUGAACAAAGAAGCAGAAGUUGUAUAUAUCCUACUGACUAAGUUAAAUAUAACCCAAAAUAAAGUCUACAUUCACACACGUAAUAUAAAGGUAUUGAUUUCAUUACCUAAUUUACCUUACAAUUCGCGCAAUUUAUAUUAACCACAAAUUUUCUUUUAUUUUUUAUCAAAAUUUUCUAUUUUAAUUUAAUAAUUUCCAAUAAAAAAGCACCUAUAAACACAGUCCCUAAUACUAAUAAUUAUUGGAAAAUCGGGCCCUCAAAUUUGGGGGGCCUAAAGCACUUGCCUUAAUGGCUUGUGCAUUGAGCCGGCACUGCAUUUAUAUGUACAAUUUAUUUAGCUAUAUACUUAUUCUUCUUAUUCCAUGGAAACUAGUUAUCUUCUGGCUAUUUGCGUUUUUGAGCUUUCCUCAAUUUGCUGGAACUUAUUUCUUGUGUAACUAGAAUUCUCUUCCUUGGUCACUUUCAGGACUCAUUGGAACAUUUUGAAUAAGUGAUCCAUGUACUUCAUUGUCCAACAUACAUCUGACAACUAAGCGCGGUAUGGAAACCUUCUCAACUCUUCAAUUUUUUUGAUGAAGCCUUAUCAACUCUUCAAUUUGAAUUUAAAUUAUGGUUCAGUUUGGUUUUCUUUGAGUUAUUCAAUUGUUUGUUCAAUUUAUCAACCAUCUUGUUUAGAGCCGAAUCAUGAGAUAAUGAAUAUCUGUUGCUUUUAACAUUAAAUAUGAAGCCGACCUUUAAAAAGAUGAAUAUAGAUAACUUUGGGAGUUACUUAUGAGAAAGAUAGCAUUAAAAAUUACUCAUAAAUAGAGAACAUUAGAUUCACUUUCCGGUGAGCGUUUUCAACCAUCUUCGGCAUGGAGUUAAACUAUGGUUAGUUCUAUUUCUCGUAAGCUGAAUUAUGCGUAAAUCUGUUUUUUAGCAUUAAAUCUGAAGCUGCCCCUUAAGUAUAGAUAUUAAGAUAAAAUUCAAAGCUGCCUGUCGAAUCUUGAAAUAUUUUGCUGCUCUUAUUAUUGCAAUUUUUUUACUUGUUUUCCCUGUUUAAUAAAACUGGUCUAUUAACUUAAAUGUGCAGAAUAGUUUACUACAUUCAAGUCCAUCUCAGAAGUGUUUUCACUUAUCUUUAUCCACUUUAAGAUAAUAUAGCAUAUCUAAUUAGCGAGGACUGCUAUUAGAAUCCCCCCACAGGCUUUGGUCCAGGGGUAAGAGCGUGGCAUGAUGUGUGGGUUUUGCGCAUGUCACGGGUUCGAACCCAGACAAAAGCCUUGUAGUUGAGAAGGGUAGAGGGGCGAGCCCAUUAUCCACCUAGCUUCGAACCGUGCGCCACGAGCCAUCGGGGAUUUCGGAGUUUAAAAAAAGACUACAAUUAGUAUCGGUAUUACGGAAUAUUUCCUUUCCUGCCUGGAUGGUAUGUUUCCUUCCCUUUACUAGUCGGAAACCCAAAAUUUUUCAAGUAAAGCACAAGGGGACUAGAUUCGAGUAAAUAGUACUGGGACGUACCAACUAUUGGCUCAUUUUUCUAAAAUCUUACAGUUAUAGUAGGCUGAACUAGUUGGGAGAGGAUCAAUCUUAUCAGUUGACUUUAGGCUGACAGGUUUUUUAAUGGUCUUUGGCCCUUUAACGGCAUUUAAAAUGUUAAAGUUUUGCUACUUUAGUACAACUUCAUGCUAUGUGUUCCACUGGGCGACAAAUCCUUGCAACUGGUGUGCUUUUGGUAAGGUCUUUUUGGUAGCUGUGCGAUCAGCGUGCAAAAUUUGUACGUGAAAUGCAUGUAUUGUUGCUUACACGUUGUAACAAGGGCCGAGGGGUAACCUUUUCUUGCACAUGCCGAAUGCAUGUUGUCAGGGGCGAAGCUACAUAUUCCUUCAUCGAAAAAUUACACUUUUUAUAUAGGUAAAAUAUUGAAUUUUAGAGGUAUAUAAUAUAUAUUGAACACCCUUUAUCGGAUUUUUUUUUACUUCUUUCAAGUUUCAACACCCUAGAUAAAAUUUCUAGCUUCGCCACUGCAUGUUGUAACCGGGUAUUAAAAAAAGUGGACCUUAGACUUUACUUCUAUAAGUUAGCUUAUGGAGCGAGAAUUGUCCAAACCAAGAGACUACAACUCAUACCCUAAUCUUAACACCCCUCCAUGCCAGAACUAGAGAUUUGGAGUGUUGAUAAUAUAAUAUUGGUCCCUACAAUAACUCAACAUCAGAGAUAACAAGGGAUGCUGCAGGUUGUAACACCUUGAUAAAAUAAAAAUUGGACUGUGGAUCUACCUCAACCCCAAGAGCUAACUUAUGAGUUGAGAAUUGUCUAAGAUCAGAUAUAAGGAGACUGCACCAUACCAUCCAACUUUGGUACUCUAACAACGAGUGCGGAGUUGUCGUUUGCUUAUUUUGUUUCUCUUUUCAUGCUAACCUACUAAGAUAAACCUUAAUUUUGCCGAAGAUACCUAAAAUAGCUGCUUUGCUUUUGCAGGGAUGAACAUUAGUGUGAAGUAGUAGGUACAGUACAGAGCUUGUAGUGUGAAUUAUACUGUGUACUUUGAUUACUAUUAGUUUGUUUGAAGCAGCAGACGAGUUUUGAUUAAAGGUUCAUCUUUUGUAAUUGUUGUAAUCAUAUGUUUUGUCAUAGUAGUGCACAGAUGAAGAGCAUAUCUCUUAUUUUAGAAUCCCACAAAAUUCAUAUAGUACUGAUCUUUGAGUUUCUAUUGUGAGCAACGUGUAGAGUAGUAGCAAUUUCUGCUGUAUUAAGUGCAUUUUCAAAGGGGUUUGAAAUAUUAGAUUCAUUUGUAGUUCUAAUAGAAGCUAUAGCCAUUACUCCGUUUUAUACCUUAUAUCUGCUCUUUUUACUUGCCGUAAUUAAGAAUGAUCUUCAGUUCUCUCCCUUUGUGAUUUCUUUUUUCGUGUGUAUUAAUCAAUGCACCUGAAAGGGAG
rnacentral:lncRNA from 1 species